UCCGUAGGCGGGCAAUUAAGUCAGAGGUGAAAUCCCACAGCUCAACUGUGGAACUGCCUUUGAUACUGGUUGUCUUGAGUUACAGUGAAGUAGAUAGAAUAUGUAGUGUAGCGGUGAAAUGCAUAGAUAUUACAUAGAAUACCGAUUGCGAAGGCAGUCUACUAACUGCAUACUGACGCUAAUGGACGAAAGCGUGGGGAGCAAACAGGAUUAGAUACCCUGGUAGUCC
rnacentral:rRNA from 1 species